rnacentral:rRNA from 1 species
UACGAGUGCCUCAAGCGUUAUCCGGAAUCAUUGGGCGUAAAGGGUGCGUAAGGCGGUCUAUGAUUAGUCUCUUGUUAAAACCUUCCGGCUUAACCGGUAAAAUCUGCAGGAGAUACGGGCAUGGACUUCGAGGAUGGAAGAGGGUUUGCGGAAACUCAUGGUGUAGGGGUGAAAUCCGAUUGAUAUCAUGGGGAACACCGAAUGCGAAGGCAGCAAAUCUGGUCCACUCCUGACGACUGAAGCACGGAAAGCGAUGGGGUCGCGAACUGGG